rnacentral:rRNA from 1 species
GAGUUUGAUUAUGGCUCAGAUUGAACGCUGGCGGCAUGCUUUACACAUGCAAGUCGGACGGCAGCACAGAGAAGCUUGCUUCUUGGGUGGCGAGUGGCGAACGGGUGAGUAAUAUAUUGGAACGUACCGAGUAAUGGGGGAUAACUUGCCGAAAGGUAAGCUAAUACCGCAUACGCUCUGAGGAGGAAAGCAGGGGACCUUCGGGCCUUGCGUUAUUCGAGCGGCCAAUAUCUGAUUAGCUAGUUGGUGGGGUAAAGGCCUACCAAGGCGACGAUCAGUAGCGGGUCUGAGAGGAUGAUCCGCCACACUGGGACUGAGACACGGCCCAGACUCCUACGGGAGGCAGCAGUGGGGAAUUUUGGACAAUGGGCGCAAGCCUGAUCCAGCCAUGCCGCGUGUCUGAAGAAGGCCUUCGGGUUGUAAAGGACUUUUGUCAGGGAAGAAAAGGUUGUGGCUAAUAUCCAUGACUGAUGACGNACCUGAAGAAUAAGCACC